GACGAACGCUGGCGGCGUGCUUAACACAUGCAAGUCGAACGAUGACGACCGAGCUUGCUCGGUCUGAUUAGUGGCGAACGGGUGAGUAACACGUGAGCAACCUGCCCUUCAUUCUGGGAUAACCUCGGGAAAUCGGGGCUAAUACCGGAUAUGAGCUCCUGUCGCAUGGCGGGUGUUGGAAAGUUUUUCGGUGAAGGAUGGGCUCGCGGCCUAUCAGUUUGUUGGUGAGGUAGUGGCUCACCAAGGCGAUGACGGGUAGCCGGCCUGAGAGGGCGACCGGCCACACUGGGACUGAGACACGGCCCAGACUCCUACGGGAGGCAGCAGUGGGGAAUAUUGCACAAUGGGCGAAAGCCUGAUGCAGCGACGCCGCGUGAGGGAUGACGGCCUUCGGGUUGUAAACCUCUUUCAGCAGGGAAGAAGCGAAAGUGACGGUACCUGCAGAAGAAGCGCCGGCUAACUACGUG
rnacentral:rRNA from 1 species